rnacentral:rRNA from 1 species
AGAGUUUGAUCCUGGCUUAGAUUGAACGCUGGCGGCAGGCCUAACACAUGCAAGUCGAGCGGUAGCACAGAGAGCUUGCUCUCGGGUGACGAGCGGCGGACGGGUGAGUAAUGUCUGGGAAACUGCCUGAUGGAGGGGGAUAACUACUGGAAACGGUAGCUAAUACCGCAUAACGUCGCAAGACCAAAGUGGGGGACCUUCGGGCCUCAUGCCAUCAGAUGUGCCCAGAUGGGAUUAGCUAGUAGGUGGGGUAACGGCUCACCUAGGCGACGAUCCCUAGCUGGUCUGAGAGGAUGACCAGCCACACUGGAACUGAGACACGGUCCAGACUCCUACGGGAGGCAGCAGUGGGGAAUAUUGCACAAUGGGCGCAAGCCUGAUGCAGCCAUGCCGCGUGUAUGAAGAAGGCCUUCGGGUUGUAAAGUACUUUCAGCGGGGAGGAAGGCGAUAAGGUUAAUAACCUUGUCGAUUGACGUUACCCGCAGAAGAAGCACCGGCUAACUCCGUGCCAGCAGCCGCGGUAAUACGGAGGGUGCAAGCGUUAAUCGGAAUUACUGGGCGUAAAGCGCACGCAGGCGGUCUGUCAAGUCGGAUGUGAAAUCCCCGGGGCUCAACCUGGGAACUGCAUUCGAAACUGGCAGGCUAGAGUCUUGUAGAGGGGGGUAGAAUUCCAGGUGUAGCGGUGAAAUGCGUAGAGAUCUGGAGGAAUACCGGUGGCGAAGGCGGCCCCCUGGACAAAGACUGACGCUCAGGUGCGAAAGCGUGGGGAGCAAACAGGAUUAGAUACCCUGGUAGUCCACGCCGUAAACGAUGUCGAUUUGGAGGUUGUGCCCUUGAGGCGUGGCUUCCGGAGCUAACGCGUUAAAUCGACCGCCUGGGGAGUACGGCCGCAAGGUUAAAACUCAAAUGAAUUGACGGGGGCCCGCACAAGCGGUGGAGCAUGUGGUUUAAUUCGAUGCAACGCGAAGAACCUUACCUGGUCUUGACAUCCACAGAACUUAGCAGAGAUGCUUUGGUGCCUUCGGGAACUGUGAGACAGGUGCUGCAUGGCUGUCGUCAGCUCGUGUUGUGAAAUGUUGGGUUAAGUCCCGCAACGAGCGCAACCCUUAUCCUUUGUUGCCAGCGGUUAGGCCGGGAACUCAAAGGAGACUGCCAGUGAUAAACUGGAGGAAGGUGGGGAUGACGUCAAGUCAUCAUGGCCCUUACGACCAGGGCUACACACGUGCUACAAUGGCAUAUACAAAGAGAAGCGACCUCGCGAGAGCAAGCGGACCUCAUAAAGUAUGUCGUAGUCCGGAUUGGAGUCUGCAACUCGACUCCAUGAAGUCGGAAUCGCUAGUAAUCGUAGAUCAGAAUGCUACGGUGAAUACGUUCCCGGGCCUUGUACACACCGCCCGUCACACCAUGGGAGUGGGUUGCAAAAGAAGUAGGUAGCUUAACCUUCGGGAGGGCGCUUACCACUUUGUGAUUCAUGACUGGGGUGAAGUCGUAACAAGGUAACCGU